AGUCAUGCAGAAAAUACUGAUUUAGAGGAAAAGAAUGUGUAAGAACAUCUCCUCUUUUGGCUUGAUCCAGAUUCUGUUGUGUUGCAUUAAAAGAGGAGGUGUUGGCAGUGACAGAUGCACUGAAGUACUACAUGCAAGAGCCAGAAGAAAUGACACAGCACAACUUGGGCGUUAGAGAUGCUAAAAUAGAUCUUGUGGGAUUCAACCCCUUAGAGUGUGUGGAACAGACUGACCCCAUAAUGAUCUAGAAGAGCUUAUGGCAUCCCUGGUGACACCUGUGUGCCAGAGUGACUCCAGAGAUUGACCCCUGACUGCUGCUCAAAGUAAUUGCAGACUAAACUUCCUAAUCAUACAGGGUAUGAACAUAGAAAAAAGGACUAUGUUUCUGCUUCUCUCAUCUGCGCUGAGGUUUUCCAGUGGAGAAGCUUCAUUGUUUCCCAAGGCAGAGAACCCUGUCAGACCUGGGGGGAGGCUGAGCUGUGCAGCCACAGACACUGCAGCAUGUGUGUGUGUGUCUGUGCUUGCUCAUGAGCAGCCUGAACACUGCUCAGAGUGAGACCCUGCUCUCCCAGCCCGCUUCCCUCGCCCUCUGACAUUGCCAUUUCUGCUCC